rnacentral:rRNA from 1 species
UACGUAGGAUGCAAGCGUUGUCCGGAUUUAUUGGGUUUGAAGGGUGCGUAGGCGGCCUAUUAAGUUAGUGGUGAAAACGUUCGGCUUAACCGGAUACCCGCCAUUGAUACUGAUAGACUUGAGUGCGACAGAGGGUGUUGGAAUGUGUGGUGUAGCGGUGAAAUGCUUAGAUAUCACGCAGAACACCAAUUGCGAAGGCAGAUGCCUAUGUCGUAACUGACGCUGAGGCACGAAAGCGUCGGGCGCAAACAGG